rnacentral:sRNA from 1 species
GAGCGCUAGUAGAUAGGUCUCAGGAGACCGG